rnacentral:rRNA from 2 species
CUGGAGGUAUCAGAAGUGCGAAUGCUGACAUAAGUAACGAUAAAGCGGGUGAAAAGCCCGCUCGCCGGAAGACCAAGGGUUCCUGUCCAACGUUAAUCGGGGCAGGGUGAGUCGACCCCUAAGGCGAGGCCGAAAGGCGUAGUCGAUGGGAAACGGGUUAAUAUUCCCGUACUUGGUGUUACUGCGAAGGGGGGACGGAGAAGGCUAUGUUGGCCGGGCGACGGUUGUCCCGGUUUAAGCGUGUAGGUGUGUGUUCCAGGUAAAUCCGGUUCACUUUAACACUGAGGC